rnacentral:lncRNA from 10 species
CAUUGACCUAGGCUCCUUCUGAGGACUGGCAGUCUGGAGACCUCGCAGAGGCUGCCAAACCUUUUGUGGAUGGAGCUCAAGUGAACUGUUAGUCUAACAAGGUAACCCAGGAAGGAGAGAGGGAUCUGCUCACAGACACUGACUAAGCAUGCAUGAGAAGGAGGGCAGAACAGCUGAGGAGCAUUCUGGGGUCUCCUGCCAGUGGCUCAUGCCAGAUCGUCUCCCUGUGGGCACCCCACUGGCCCCCACUGACCCCCAGCAGGAUGUGAUGAGAUCGGAGGGAGGCGGUGUCAGGGACGAGGUGGGCGGGCCUCCUGCUGAUGGAAGGAAGCUCAGCCUCUGCAGUGACCUCAGGCUGCCUGGGUCCCCACAGGCCUCUGACUGGCCUCUGCUGGCCUCGGGUGAAGAGAACCUUCUACCAGAACGUGUCCUCUCCAGCGGCGUUCUUCCAGCCCUCUACAGUGUGCACAAUGGGAACUUCCAGCUGUCUGCACCCACCAUGUGCCUCGCCUCCUCCUUCUGCGAAGGUGUCUGUCCUGUGGCCGUGGGGAAGGGUCUGUGGUGUGUGCACUGCCCUCGGGGCUCUCACUGCCUCUGGGCUCCUGCUCUGCCUGGUCCCCUGGUCCCCCUGGAACGCAUACCAGAACCACAGCUGAGGAGUGAGCUCUGCACUUCCCCCUCUGUGGCCCUGUUGGGCUCCCACAGCCCAGGAACCAGUGAGCAACUUGGGGGUUGCAUCAGGCCCUCCCCUCCCGGCUGGGCUGGCGAUUCGUGCCCCCUGGGUGGGAGGAGCGGGAGAGGGAGGAGGGGGGUGGGAGGAGGACGAGGGUGGGAGGAUGUGGGUGGAAGGAGUGGGAGAGGGAGGACUCCAGUGAGUGGUCUCUGGUUUUUCCCCUCAGACUCCUCACUUUGGGCAAAGGACAAGAAGCAGUGA